CUCACACUUGGCCUUUUGACUAAAACCAAGUGUAAUAUCUGUUCUUAUCAGUUUAAUAUCUUAUACGCCCUCUAUUUGAGAACAGUUGAAGUAGACAUGGGAACAGACUUGGAGAAAGAGUUAACUUUU
ensembl:snRNA U2 U2 spliceosomal RNA